AAAUUGAAGAGUUUGAUCAUGGCUCAGAUUGAACGCUGGCGGCAGGCCUAACACAUGCAAGUCGAACGGUAACAGGAAGCAGCUUGCUGCUUUGCUGACGAGUGGCGGACGGGUGAGUAAUGUCUGGGAAACUGCCUGAUGGAGGGGGAUAACUACUGGAAACGGUGGCUAAUACCGCAUAACGUCGCAAGACCAAAGAGGGGGACCUUCGGGCCUCUUGCCAUCAGAUGUGCUGC
rnacentral:rRNA from 1 species